rnacentral:rRNA from 1 species
GACGAACGCUGGCGGCGUGCUUAACACAUGCAAGUCGAACGGAAAGGCCCUGCUUUUGUGGGGUGCUCGAGUGGCGAACGGGUGAGUAACACGUGAGUAACCUGCCCUUGACUUUGGGAUAACUUCAGGAAACUGGGGCUAAUACCGGAUAGGAGCUCCUGCUGCAUGGUGGGGGUUGGAAAGUUUCGGCGGUUGGGGAUGGACUCGCGGCUUAUCAGCUUGUUGGUGGGGUAGUGGCUUACCAAGGCUUUGACGGGUAGCCGGCCUGAGAGGGUGACCGGCCACAAUGGGACUGAGAGACGGCCCAGACUCCUACGGGAGGCAGCAGUGGGGAAUAUGGCACAAUGGGCGGAAGCCUGAUGCAGCAACGCCGCGUGCGGGAUGACGGCCUUCGGGUUGUAAACCGCUUUCGCCUGUGACGAAGCGUGAGUGACGGUAAUGGGUAAAGAAGCACCGGCUAACUACGUG